ACACCGAUGGUGAAGCGGUUAUCAUGCUUGCCUUCCAUUACAAAUAUGUUUCCCUUGAAGCAAGCGGCAGGGGUUCGACUCCCCUUCGGUGUA